AGACAGCAAUCCAAGGAAACUUCUAUCAAUUUUUCUCAACACAUUCCCAAGACAACGGGUUGCAUCAACUUAGAAUUAGAUUUGACAGUCGAGUCAAGAAGAUUAUGCUUCCCCUAUCUAUCUUGGAGGCGAGAGGCACGGUGGGAUUCCCUUUCAGAGACUCCAUGAUUACAGCUCAUGGUGAUAGUUUCGGUAUUUUUUUUUAUUCACACUUUCUAAAGUGAUGGACAG
rnacentral:lncRNA from 1 species